GGCCUUUUGAUUAUAAUUUAAGGUCGGGCCUGCCCAAUGAUGGAUUCAAUGGCCGCGGUAUAUUAACCGUGCAAAGGUAGCAUAAUCAUUAGUUUUUUAAUUGAAAGCUGGAAUGAAGGGUUUAAUGAAAAAAGUACUGUCUUUAUUUAAAUUUAUUAGAAAUUUAUUAUUAAGUAAAAAAGCUUAAAUAAUUAUUACAGACGAGAAGACCCUAUAGAGUUUAAUAUGAAAUAAAAAAUGUUUAAUUUGGUAUUUUUUACUAUUUUUUUUUAGUAUUUAAUUGGGGUGAUUGAAAAAUUCAAAAAACUUUUUUUUUAUGGAACGUUGAUGUACGAAUAAUUGAUCCUUUAUUUAGAUUAAAAGAUAAAAUUACCUUAGGGAUAACAGCGUGAUUUUUUUUAGAGUUCUUAUCGAAAGAAAAGAUUGCGACCUCGAUGUUGGAUUAAAAUUAAUUAUUGGUGUAGAAGCUGAUAAAUUAGGUCUGUUCGACCUUUAAAUUUUUACAUGAUCUGAGUUUAGACCGGUUUGAG
rnacentral:rRNA from 1 species